ACAUGCCUACAACAUAGCAUUAAUGCAUCCGAUCUCAUUAGAACUCCGCAAUUAAGGGCACUCAAGCUAGAGUAUUUUUGGGAUGGGUGACCACCCAAGAAGUCCUAGUGUUUUACAUGCC
rnacentral:rRNA from 1 species